CUUUGGUACCUCUUUUUGUAUGAUCAUGAAAAAGCUACCAUAGUAACCUAACAGCAAUUAACAUUUACAUCAUCCCCCCAGAACAUUUUUGUGCCAUACAGAUAUUUUAUUAACCAUCACCCCCUUCUCCUCCUCCUCCUCCUGCUUAGCCUCUCUUCCUAUGUGGACCAGCCAGCAAAAAGGAACGUGCUAUUUUGGUCUUGCUCAUAGAAAAAUGUUUGCACAGCAAAUCAAUGGCCACCCAACCAAACAAACAUGAUCGCUUAGCAAAUAUUUGAGCAUGCAGAAAGACUGUAGGUAGGUCUGCAGCUCUGGGCAUACCAUCCCUAAAACCCAGGAAUAAUUAGCUUACUGUGCUGUUUGCCUUUUGAUUUAGCAUGAGCCAAAAAGUACCACCUGUCAUAUCAGUUUAGUUGGAUGAAACGCCCUGAAGCUGUGAAUCCUUGCUUUUGAAUUCAAUGAGAGAUAUUGACUGAAACCCUUAAAUUCGGCUGGAGUGAUGAUUUUCUCUAAAUCCUGCUGCACCACUCAGACCUUCAUAAAAGUCUUAAAGCAGUGAGAUACUGAGGAUCUUUUACAUAAAUGUGCAUUAAAUCAUUCAGUCAAAACAUGCAGUCUGUAUAAAGGAGUGUCAAUAGCUGUGUCUCCAGUUGGACAAAGAAACUAGGGCAUACUUAAUAUGGUAUCACCUCAAUCAGAGAGAUUUUUUCGAAGUUUCAGGAACUUGAAAGGAAAUUCAAGUGGAAAAUCACAAACUUGAGCGGUAUGAGAUUUAACGGUUUUUGCCUCUUUUUUUCUCCUUUUUUCUCCCUUACUCUGUCUGGGUCAUUCCUUUUGAUUGUCACUAUGCAGCAUUCAGGGCCCUUCAUGUGAUUGGUGCUAAGUGCCUUGGGUUUUGUGGUCACAGGCAGCAUGUGGGGAAUGUGCUCAAAAAUAUACACAGCCUUACAGAUUGGCUCCUCCUGUGAGUGAGCUUGAGGGGGUAAAGGCCUGGGAUUGAUUACGAUUGUUAAUCAGGAAUCAGUUCGAUACUCUCAAAAAAAGGACCCUUCAUCAGAGCCAGCACUCCAUCACAUCUGGACUUUAACCACAGCGUCAGAGCAGCUGGUCACUGCGAGAACCAUUCUGUUACCUUUUUAAGAGUUGGUUAGUGACAGCAAAUAUGCAAAUAUGGUGUUUACCCACUUAGUGUUCCUGUAUUGAUAUAAUGGACAUUGAAAUGUUGCCAUUAAGAGCUUCAGUAAGUAAUUCACACACCCUCUGCUGCGGGACUUUAAAUAUAUAAUUCAUUUACUAUUUCCUCAAUGUUCAUAAUUUCAUUCAUCUAAUUUAAUGAUCAACUGCAGCCACACAAAUGCAUUAUAUAUCAUAUAAUUGCUAUGUAAAGUAUCAGCAGUGCUGUUAAGUGAGGGGAAGUUACUACAGGAAUCCCUCAUCACAGAAACGCCGGUGUAUGAGCAUACAGUGUAUUUAUUUCACCUAUUUCAUUAUUUCUUCUUCAGGUUCAGCUCUCACAACAGAUGUGGAAGGUUUUAAAGACUGCAUUUAGUUCAGUAAGGGUUUAACCUUAGGAUGGAAAUGGGAGACCUGUUAUUUUCUGAGGUGCACUCAGGCAGUUUGAGGGACGAGGCAAAAUAAAGAAAUAAGAUUCCUUUACACCCUGAAGCACAGAUGUACAAGAACUUGUGAUUAAUAAAGAUUUGUCUGUAGCAGCAUUUUGAUUACCAACUUCAAGCUCUUCAAACUCUUCACAUUGUUGUCUCUCCGUCUCAUUCAAUGAUCAUAACCUUGUUUCAUAGCAGAACCCAGGUUUAUUGCUUCUAAUGCUUAAUUUCCUUAGAGGUGGAAAUAUAAAAGAAAAACACAAAAUUAUGAAUACAUAAUCAAAAACAGAAGCUCACAUUCAAGUAAGAUUUAAUCUUAAUCUGUUAUUUCCACAGGGUUAUUUUAAAACACAGUAAAUCUAUGUAAAUUAAAUGAGAGAAUGAAUUCAAUCAAAAAUAAAAUUGAGGGGAAAAAAGUAUUCAGGAUUCAAUUUUGUGCUCAAACCUUGCAUGUCAGCUAAAUAUAUAUUGCACAUUACCUACUGGAAGAGCCUUAAGAGAGCACCUUUUUUAACAUGCUUUUUACUGGAUAGACAACUAGAGGGCCAUUUUUUUCAGUGGCUACUCCUUAAGUCUGAUUGGCAACCCUGGCGGCUGGUUUGAGAUCCCAAAAACUGAUUGGCUUGUUAGUGGCAGCAUUUAUAUUGAAAUUGACCAGGUUGUGUUUUAACCAUAGACUGCAUAUAGAAUGGGCAACAUCUAGCUCUUCUAACACUGCCUGAUGACUGGUUGUAGUAUAGGUCAUAAACCCUGCCUCCUCCAGCAAAAUGAAUGGAGCUGUGGACAAACUUUUGAAAUGUCAUUACAUGCAAUAUAACCUUCUCCCCAUACUUUAUAAUCUUACAUGAUACUAUAUGAUUGUCCAUGCUAUAUACAGUCUAUGGUUUCAACUAAGUUUCUCAGUGUUUCAGUGUAAGACAUGUUCAUUUGUUGAUAAUGUGAUUGGUGACUUGGUGAUUAUAUACAUAGAUAUGUUGUUGUUGUUGUUUUCGUCUCUGAAGUAAUAGUAGAGAAAACCCUGCUGUAUGGAGUCAUGUUUAUUGUUGUAAUGUUAAUGUCUGUGCCCUAGUUUGGCCAUCCAAAUUUAAAAAAAAUAAGAAAAAAAAGUUUGGAUACGCAACCACAUCUGUUUCAUACUUUGUCCACCGGGAGGGCAUCCACACUGAAUGACUGUCCAGUUGUUGAAAAGAGCACAGAGCUUGUUAUGUGUCACCCUUUGAAAGAGCAGCGACUGUAGCAUGUACAGUAAGAAUAAGAAUAAUCUUCCCUUCGGGGAUCAAUAAAGUUAGUGUCUGUUGUCGCAUUUGUCAUGUCUCAAAAGUCAUGUCUCAAAAGUCAUCUAAUAUUUAUAAAAGAGUUGUAAAGUCUGAUGGCUGUCGGUACAAAAGAUCUUCUGAAACUUUCUGUCCUGCAGAGAAGAGAAAGGAGUCGUCCACCACCAUUGGCCCUUGAGUCCAUGAAGGUGUUAUGAAGCAGGUGAUCCAUGUUCUUUAGAACAGUCUCCACCUUCCUUAGUGUUCAUCUCUCCACCACAUCCUCCACUGGGUCCAUCUUAAAUCAAACCAUGGAGCCAGCCUUUUUCACCAGUUUGUUCAGAUGUCUUGUAUCUUUGUGUUUCUUUCCUCCCCAGCAGACUGCAGCGUAGAACAGAACACUUGCUACCACAGACUGAUAAAACAUCUGUAGCAUCUUACUGCAGAUGUCUAUUAAUCGUAUGUACACCUGGGUAUUUAUAUGAUGUCACCACUUCGAUGUACACUCCACAGAUGUUCACUGGCUGAACAGGGGGUUUGGAUCUGCAAAAGUCUAUGAUCAUCUCCUUUGUCUUUGAGGUUUUGAGGAGGAGACAGUUUUUGUGACUCUAGUCUCUGGAGGCUCUUUUCAAAUCUCUGAAUUCAGCUUCUUGUCCAUUUCUGAUACAUGCCACGAUAGCAGUGUCAUUUGAGUAUUUCUGGAUGUGGCAGGACUCAGUGCUGUAUUUGAAGUCUGACGUGUACAGUGUGAACAGGAAUGACGCCAGCACUGUCCCUUGUAGAACCCCUGUACUGUUCAUUAAUGCCCCAGAAACACAGUUCCCCAGCCUGACAAACUGUGGCCUUCCUGUCAGGUAAUCUGUGAUCUAGGAAACACAGGAAGGAUCUACUCCCAUCUCUGUGAGCUUGUCUUUGAGUAUGUUGGGUUUGAUGGUGUUGAAUGCACUUUGAAAGUUAAAGAACAUGAUCCUCACAUAAACUCCAGGUUCCUUCAGAUGAGACAGGGCACGAUGAAGCAUGUAGAGGACAGCAUGAUUCACUCUAAUGUGUUCUUUGUAUGCAAACUGCAGGGAAUCCAGUUUGUCUUUGACCUCAGACCUCAGAAGGCAUAGAAUCAGCCGCUCCAGGGUUUUCAUGAUUUGUGAAGUGAGGACCACUGAUAGUUAUUGAGUUCAGCAGGACAUUUUGUUUUUGGUACUGGCACAAUGCAGGAUGUUUUCCACAGAGCAGGUACCUGCCCCAGCUGUAGACUCAGGUUGAAGAUACUGUGGAGAGGUCAGUUCUGCAGCACAGUCUCUAAGCAGCCUUGGUCACACACCAUCUGGACCAGCUGCCUUCCCAGGACAAAGUCUUCCCAGCUCCAUCCUCACCCCUGUUUCUGUGACAGACAAGGACUGGUGUCAGAGAAGGGAGGUAGUUGAAGUGGUUGAGAAAUUUGAAUGAGAUGGAGGAGGAAGGGGUGAAGUUGUCGUGAAGAUCUGUUGCGGAGAGGAAGGUGGAGCAGCAGUGGAAGAACAGGUUGAGUUUACCAGCUCUUUCCAGAUCACCCACCACUGGCUGUCAUCCAGAGAUGGUACUGAUUCCUCUCCACACUUCACAGAUGUUUCUGUGUGGCAGAUUCCUCUCUAUCUUCUAUUUGUAUUCCAGCUUUGCCAUCUCCAGUCUCCUCUUCAACUCUCGUUGCACUUGUUUGAGUCAUUCUUUGUCACCAUCUUUAAAAGCUUUGUUUUUCUGGUUAAGGAUUGGUUUUAUGUCACUUGUGAUCCAGGGCUUGUUGUUGGGGAAACAGUCCUUGUCGGUGUGACUGUGUCUCUACAGAAGUUGAUGUAUUCGGUAAAGCAGUCAACCUGUCUGUCAAUGUUCAUACUGUCGUCAUCUGUUUCCAGAAAACACAAAAACUCAAAAAAGAAUUGUAAUUUCCAAAACACCUUUUCAAGCAUAAACCAUCAACUUUCCAUCUCUGCCCACAGAGCACAACACCCCUCCCACAGCCCACACUUGGCUGAAAGCCUGCACAUUCUCUAUCAUUUGAAAGUAAGAAAACUCCACCCUUAGUCUGGCCUUAAGCAAACCCUGCAGAGCUGCCAAGGGAUUCUCAGCACCAGAGUCCAGGACCUUUUUCCUCUAGGUCAGCCAGAUGGCCAACUUUGCAAAGCCCAAGAGAAAGUUUAUCAAUGUGUGUUCAGCUUUUUUUUCUUGGCAGUGUACUUUGGGCCAUAGAUAAAGAGUCCAAAGGAAAACAUCGAGUCUGCGAACAGAACAAGAAGCCCUUUUCCACCCCAGGACAGAUGUGCGCUCUGUGUCUGUUCAUAGCUAUCUCACCAUGUACGAUCCUCCACUGAAGGUCUGCAGUCGGUUUUUUAAUGGGCAGUUUGUGCAGGGACCGCCCGCUGCCUAUGGGGGGUAACGUCUGGACCAAAUAGUCCAGAUGUUUCCCCCAAAUUCCAAUCUGGCUGCAAAGACUGUGUUGUUUUGGACUCUAACCCAUGUGUACUGUCUGAACUGAGGGUGUUUGAUUCUGAAGGUAUCUAGCAGAUCACAGUGGGAGAUAACCAAGCUCAGAGCUCAGGAUGAAGGUGGGUGAGGUUCCUCUCAUAUCCGGUCUGUGGUGAAGUCCGGGGUGCAUUUAAAGUCCCCACCAAGGAUAAUUUGGUCCUGAUGGAAGAACAUCAGCUCACCUUUCAGCUGACUAUAGAAAGACACCCUUUCUGAUUCAAGGCUAGGAGCAUAAACAUUAGCAAAACAGAACACACACUCAUCAAUUUCUGCCCUAGCCAGCAGCAGCCAGCCAGACACCACCUUAGGUGAGCAUAUUAGCAUGAGCAUUAUCUUAAUAAUAAAAAAAAAAAUUGCUACACCAGCACUGGGGUUUAUGGUAGAAUAGUUUCUGUCAACCCAGCCAUGGCAAUAACUUCAGUCAGUCUUAUCUGACUGAUCACUGUGAUCAACCCUUUUCUGACCACGUACUUCAGUUACAAGAGCUUUUAUAUUUCCGUCUCUCCCACCGUUUAUAUUAAGAGACCCUUUUUUAAUACUCCUUGUGGAGAAGUGAGACAGGAAACGCAGACAGACAGAAAUCAGCAGGACUCUGUAGAGAGAAGACACCCUGUGAUGCAUGAUCAUUUUUAUUUCCUGAGUUUAUGGAGAGUUUUACUUUUCUCUGAGCUGUGAUGUGUUUUUUAAAUCUGAACCUUUUCAUUUCAUCAAGGAGGUCAAAACCUACCUGUUUCUUAAAUAUGAUGACUGACCUGAUGAAUCUCUCUGUGUCACUGCAGUAAUCGCUCACCUUUACUACUUUUUUGUUGUAUCGGUCAUCUAUGUACCACAUGAUUUCCUGUAAGGUCUGUGCCCCUUUUUGAAGCUUCAGUGUUAUCUGAGUCACAGUCCUCCUCCAUGUCCUCUUACUCACAUGCAGCCUGACUGCACACUACCUGAGCCUCACCUGUGAUCUCACUGAUGUGAACUGCCUCCCCACCGUUUGGCUGUACUUCAUCAGCUACUGCAGACAGAGAGCUGCUGAGGUUUACUGCAGCCACAGACCACUCAUCUAACUUAGCUGACAGAGUUUCAGCUCAGCUGUUGCUGCAGACUGAGAGCUCCUCAUAUCUGCUUCAGCUCUUUCUACCUGCUGGUCUGCAGCUGAGCUCUGAGUUGAAAACACUGUCUCAUCAUACUGUAUUCUAGAAUUACAAGAAACUACAACACUGUUAUAAUCACCAGGUCUAAUAGUGGUUAACUCUAGCUUUAUGUUAUUAAUGUUGAUGAGGUUGAUGUUAAUGUCUGCAGCAACAGUCCAGAGGAACUGAAAGAGAAGAAGGAGCUCAAGGCAUGAGGCAGACAAUCGUAGAUGGUGCAGCUGGGGUCAGUCAGGUCCACAACGACCAACGCUCCAGAGGAACCUAAGAGACUGGGGAGCUCUGGGACACUCAGAUUUCUGGUUAGUAUCUUUAAUGGGACACAGAGAUCUAAAGGAGAGAGAGGGACAAACUGGAGCUCAGUGGGCCAGUUCCCCCGGCAGUCUAAACCUAAAGCAACAUAACUCAGAGCUAGUUCAAACCUAAUCAGCCCUAACUAUAAGCUUUAUCAAAGAGGAAAGUUUUAGGUCUACUUUUGAAAGUUGAGAGGGUGUCUUUUGAAGACAAAAAACUUUUGAUACAACAAGCAGACCUGCAGACUGUGAGCGUAGUGGUCUAUGGGGAAAGGUAUUACAAGCUCCUUAACCACUUGUGCCCGCAACUGGGCGGGCAAGACCAUGGCAUGAGCCUCUUCCGGUCAUCUCCAGCCUCUAGCUUCACAAGGACGAGAUG